CUGCUCCAUGAUAGAAUUUUAAAUAGCUGCGGUAUUUUAACUGCACAAAGGUAGCGUAAUUAAUUGUUUCUUAAAUGGUGACUGGUUUGAAAGGUUUAAUGAGAAUUAUUUUGUUUUGAUCCUUUAUUGAACUUUCUAUCUUUAGUUAAAAAGCUAAGAUUGAUAAGAAAGACGAGAAGACCCUGUUGAGCUUGACGAUUAAGAUGAAUUAUAUCGUUUUAAUGGGGCAUUUGAAUUUAUUUCAUAUUUCUUUUAGAUCCUAUUUUAAGGAAUAAGGAUUAAGUUACCACAGGGAUAACAGGACAACGCUUAUUUAAAGCACAUAUUAAAAUAAGAAAUUGUUACCUCGAUGUUGAAUCAAAGUUUACUUUUGGGCGCAGUAGCUUAGAAAGUGG
rnacentral:rRNA from 1 species